UUAUUGCUGGUACCCAUAUGUAAAUCUAAAGCACCAUGUUCUGCUGGUGAUCGGUCUGUCAUCGUAUACAGAUCUCUCCUAGAAACUUCUACGGUUCCAUCUUUAACAAAUUCUUCUGGACCAUUAAUUCCAAACUGAAGAUGCUUUAUCCUCUUAGGAAUCUACCACAAUAUUAGUAAGUGAGUACAACCACAACACACGAAAAUCAUACCUGAUCAUCAAUAGGAUCUUUCAUUUUUUAAUUUGAAACCUUGACAAAACAAGAAAUGGAAGACACAAGCCAAUUCUUGGCUUUUUUCUUUGCCGUGUCAGGAUUUGGCGAAAGGCAGCUAGUUUUCUAUAAUGCUCGAGUGCACUGAAUACUUAAAAUUAAGGGCGUUCCACCUCGUUAUAUAUUUCGCAUAUAAUAGAAUUGUGGUUUAAGCCAAGAGUUGAGGAGGCUAUAUAUUUAGUACAUUGAAGCAUGUUAUGUACAUAAUUGUCUACAAAUAUCAGCCCCUUUGCAUUUCCAUUCUAGUGAACUUUGGAGAAGGUAUGAACGCAUUCGCAUAUUCCACAGAAAAUUCAAUUGUAAAUUUACAACAUAAUCAAGAGAUACAAAUUCAGUAAUUCUUAUUUUUUUAAAGUCACAUCUGUAACUUUUAUGACAAUUUUCGUUAAGUCCACCA